ACUACGGGGGGCUGCAGUGGGGAAUAUUGCACAAUGGGCGCAAGCCUGAUGCAGCCAUGCCGCGUGUGUGAAGAAGGCCUUCGGGUUGUAAAGCACUUUCAGCGGGGAGGAAGGCGGUGAGGUUAAUAACCUCAUCGAUUGACGUUACCCGCAGAAGAAGCACCGGCUAACUCCGUGCCAGCAGCCGCGGUAAUACGGAGGGUGCAAGCGUUAAUCGGAAUUACUGGGCGUAAAGCGCACGCAGGCGGUCUGUCAAGUCGGAUGUGAAAUCCCCGGGCUCAACCUGGGAACUGCAUUCGAACCUGGCAGGCUAGAGUCUUGUAGAGGGGGGUAGAAUUCCAGGUGUAGCGGUGAAAUGCGUAGAGAUCUGGAGGAAUACCGGUGGCGAAGGCGGCCCCCUGGACAAAGACUGACGCUCAGGUGCGAAAGCGUGGGGAGCAAACAGGAUUAGAUACCCUAGUAGUC
rnacentral:rRNA from 1 species